rnacentral:rRNA from 1 species
GAAUAUUGGUCAAUAGCCUAACGGCUGAACCAGCAACUUGGAGGAAUGUAUAGCGAAAGCUAAUUGUAUUAGCAGGCAAUGGUUAAUAUAAUAUCGACUAUGUCGACUAAAGUUCUAGGUAGAGUAAUGAUAAUGACAUUUUUUACCUAUGUGUCUUGACCAAGUCACGUGCCAGCAGUCGCGGUAAUACGUGGAAGACAAGUGUUAUUCAUCUUUAAUAGGUUUAAAGGGUACCCAGACGGUAUAUUUAGCCCAAAAAAGGUACUAAAUAAACUAGAGUUUAAUGUGAGGGGGUUUAUAGUACUAAUGGUGUAGAGAUGAAAUUCUGUCAUACCAGGAGGUAACUGGCAGCGGCGAAAGCAACCCUUUAUGCAAAAACUGACGUUGAAGGACGAAGG